rnacentral:pre_miRNA from 1 species
AAUAGAUGACGCCAUUGACUUUUUUUUCACAUGUUUGACCAUUCGUCUUAUUCAGAAAAUUUACGUAAUUAUAAUUUAUUUUGCUAUGAGUUGUUUUAUCACUCAUAAUACUUUAAGUGUGAUUUAUAUCUUAUACAUUCGUAUAAAAUUUUUGAAUAAGACGAAUGGUCAAACAUGUAAGAAAAAGUCAACGGCGUCAUCUAUU